rnacentral:rRNA from 1 species
CAGCCGCCACGGUAAUACGUAGGUGGCAAGCGUUGUCCGGAAUUAUUGGGCGUAAAGGGCUUGCAGGCGGUUUCUUAAGUCUGAUGUGAAAGCCCCCGGCUCAACCGGGGAGGGUCAUUGGAAACUGGGAAACUUGAGUGCAGAAGAGGAGAGUGGAAUUCCACGUGUAGCGGUGAAAUGCGUAGAGAUGUGGAGGAACACCAGUGGCGAAGGCGACUCUCUGGUCUGUAACUGACGCUGAGGAGCGAAAGCGUGGGGAGCGAACAGGAUUAGAUACCCCCGUAGUCCCUGUCUCUUAUAC